rnacentral:rRNA from 1 species
GUGUCAGCAGCCGCGGUAAUACGGAGGGUGCAAGCGUUAUCCGGAUUCACUGGGUUUAAAGGGUGCGUAGGAGGGCAGGUAAGUCAGUGGUGAAAUCUUCGAGCUUAACUCGGAAACUGCCGUUGAUACUAUCUGUCUUGAAUACCGUGGAGAUGAGCGGAAUAUGUCAUGUAGCGGUGAAAUGCUUAGAUAUGACAUAGAACACCAAUUGCGAAGGCAGCUCGUUACACGAAUAUUGACUCUGAGGCACGAAAGCGUGGGGAUCAAACAGGAUUAGAUACCCCCGUAGUCC